AAGACUAUACUUUCAGGGAUCAUUUCCUUGGUUUGUUACUAGAGAAGUUUCUCUGAACAUGUAGAGCACCAAAAGGAGAAACUGGACCCCUUCCUGA
ensembl:snoRNA U3 Small nucleolar RNA U3